GCAAAAUUAAAAAUAAGGACAGAGUGAAAAACUGUCGUAUUUCAUCUCUGGGUGCUUGGGUUAAUCGUAUUUCUGAUGAUCGGAAACAUUGCUUUUUGUUUAUAUUUUUAACAAAAUCACUAAGACAUUUGAUUGACUAAAAGAUGCAACUCUUCGGCUGGGUAACCGCUAGUUAGGGUUAUUGGACUUACACGAUGAUGAAAGGAAUCCGGGCAGAAGAUGAC
rnacentral:lncRNA from 1 species